GCUGAGCUUGCUCAGAAGUGGAGAAAGGGGCGUGCCAAAUCUCUUCUCCCGGAUGAUGAGGAGCUCCUUCCUACGGGUGACGACGACGAGACCUCCGAGGAAGAAUAUGUGGAUGCAGACACCGACCGAGAAGAAUUCGAUACAGGUAGGACAGGUGAUGAUCAUGAGCCGCCAGCUCCUACACACGUUGAAAUAUGUGACAGGCCUGUGCAUGAUCGACCCAUUGGUCCUAGGAGGGUUGGUGCCCCGAAAAGGAAGAAGACCGUACAUAAGUCCCACGAUGGUCAGCGUCCUUAUGGAGUGGACUUAGGAAGCACCGCCGAUGGAGGGGAAGGGUUCUUCGAAGAGGGCGAACUCCCACCGGGUUCGGAAUCUCC